UAGCCGCUGCACAGUGCCGUGGUGGCUGUUCCGUCGCUGCUGCUGUUCGCCAACGGGAGCUGCUGCCGGAGUCGACGGACAGCACAGCUGCUGUCGCCGGACAGCGCAGCUGCUGUCGCGCCAUCGUCCCUCCCCGUCGAGCCGCUGUCGUCGCUUCCUCCUCCCCAAAACCACUCCGAACCCGCUCGGAAACACUCCGAAAAGACCCGCAAGAAUUAAUUGUGAGAAGAUGGAAAGUGAAGAGAGUUGGAGGUGAAGAGCCCCCAUGGUGAAAGACCGUAGACUACUUGGAGAAGAAGAAGGAAGGAAGACUUUUUUUUUUCUUUUGGGCUUGCUCUCAUAUCUUUGGAAAUUGUAUUGGGCUCAACAUAUAUCAUUUAAAUUAGUUUGGGUUCAUUUAGUUGAAAGCCCAAGUUGAUAAUUAUUUAA